rnacentral:rRNA from 1 species
CAGCCGCCACGGUAAUACAGAGGGUGCGAGCGUUAAUCGGAUUUACUGGGCGUAAAGCGUGCGUAGGCGGCUUCUUAAGUCGGAUGUGAAAUCCCUGAGCUUAACUUAGGAAUUGCAUUCGAUACUGGGAAGCUAGAGUAUGGGAGAGGAUGGUAGAAUUCCAGGUGUAGCGGUGAAAUGCGUAGAGAUCUGGAGGAAUACCGAUGGCGAAGGCAGCCAUCUGGCCUAAUACUGACGCUGAGGUACGAAAGCAUGGGGAGCAAACAGGAUUAGAUACCCCCGUAGUCCCUGUCUCUUAUAC